GGACGUGAGGGCAUCUGGCUGCAACAGCUGUCUCCCCGUUGAUCGCCCGGGCUGGUUUGGCUGAUCUGUCUGGCCAGGCGGGUGUCCUUUCCACCACCCUGUGUGCUUCCUUCCAGAAGCUGCACGCUUGGUCCAAGAGGACGACCUUCCCCGACAGGAGGACCGUUCUUCGCUCAAGGGUAUAAGUCGCUGCGCUGCCCUGCUAGAACCUCCGAACAAGCUCUCAGGGUCCAUUAGUAGGAGAACGUAGGGGACAAACUUCCAAGACUCCAGACGCGUCCAGAUGGGGCGCUGCAUGGGGCAGUCUGCCUUUCUUC
rfam:Equus caballus chromosome 22, whole genome shotgun sequence.